AGUGAACGCUGGCGGUAGGCCUAACACAUGCAAGUCGAACGGCAGCACAGUAAGAGCUUGCUCUUACGGGUGGCGAGUGGCGGACGGGUGAGGAAUACAUCGGGAUCUACUUUUUCGUGGGGGAUAACGUAGGGAAACUUACGCUAAUACCGCAUACGACCUACGGGUGAAAGCAGGGGAUCUUCGGACCUUGCGCGAUUGAAUGGGCCGAUGUCGGAUUAGCUAGUUGGCGGGGUAAAGGCCCACCAAGGCGACGAUCCGUAGCUGGUCUGAGAGGAUGAUCAGCCACACUGGAACUGAGACACGGUCCAGACUCCUACGGGAGGCAGCAGUGGGGAAUAUUGGACAAUGGGCGCAAGCCUGAUCCAGCCAUACCGCGUGGGUGAAUAAGGCCUUCGGGUUGUAAAGCCCUUUUGUUGGGAAAGAAAAGCAGCAGGUUAAUACCCCGCUGUUCUGACGGUACCCAAAGAAUAAGCACCGGCUAACUUCGUG
rnacentral:rRNA from 1 species